UACGUAGGGGGCAAGCGUUGUCCGGAAUCAUUGGGCGUAAAGAGCGUGUAGGCGGCCCGGUAAGUCCGCUGUGAAAGUCCAGGGCUCAACCCUGGGAUGCCGGUGGAUACUGUCGGGCUCGAGUCCGGAAGAGGAGUGUGGAAUUCCUGGUGUAGCGGUGAAAUGCGCAGAUAUCAGGAGGAGCACCAAUGGCGAAGGCAGCACUCUGGGACGUGACUGACGCUGAGACGCGAAAGCGUGGGGAGCGAACAGG
rnacentral:rRNA from 1 species